rnacentral:lncRNA from 1 species
UCAAAGAAAAAAAAAGAAUAUAAAUCGUCCCUCCUCUCUGCGUAUCCUCCCCGGUCUCUCUCUCCCCGCAGCCUGAUGUCUCUUGUCAAGUCUCGCCGGACUCUCCCGCCUCUCCUCUCCGCCGUAUCUCUCUCUCUGUGCCUCUCCUUUCGCAGCCCUCGCCUCAGUCUCGCCGGACUCUCCCGCCUCUCCUCUCCGC